CUUUUAUACACACAGCUAAUUUUCUUUUGGCCAACAAGCCCAUCUUGACAAUUGACGAGAGAUCAAAAAAGGGCAUGGUGUUAAAGAGGACCCAGGCUGGAGGGAAGCAAGAGGCCAGUUCCCUCACCUGUUGGCACACGGCACCAAGGUGCUCAGGGGCCCUCUUUACCUUGAAGAAGGUGGACUCAAUCCCUGUUCUACAGCGUGGCCUCCCAUGUGACUGAGAAGUGAGGAGGGCUGCUCUCGACCUCAUCGUGGAGUCGGCUGACCUCACCCCAACAGCCAGGCUCCAGGACUCUCACCACACAUGAAAAAUAAAACCCUGCUUUUAAAGCCAUUGUCGUGGUUCCUGUAACAAGCAGGCAGAAGACCUUCUUGCUUAUACAGGGGUUUAUAAUUCAUAGGAAGUCUUAGGAGUGUUUGAUGAGAUCGCAAGAAGACAUGAACAGGAACCCACCCAGAAAGUGAGGCUGGGAAGUUCUAUUACGUCCUCAUCUCAAACUAUGAAACCACUGAGAGCUUGAGCAAACCAGAAUCACCUCUUCAGCAGAUCCUGGUCAACGCGCUCCCCAGCAUCAUUACAAGGCACGGGCCAACCAUAAUCCGGGUUGGUUUUGGCCUGACAUGCUGUGUCCCGAGAUGGCAAGGACCGGGCAAGGCUUUGCAGGUUCCUCUGCAUUUCCUAGGGUAUCGUUCUCUUAAAAGAACCAACGAAGUGAUAGACUGCUCUCGUUAACGCCAUGACAGCGGGGACUGUGCCUGAGGCGUUCACCACUGGACCCCCGACAUCCGGCCCUAAGACAGGCACAGAGGAGACACUCACUAAACAUCAUUCGAAUUGGAUGGAAUUGAAUUACGUUAGCGUCGCCAGUAGGUGUCGGGACCAGGAUUUGACCCACAUAGUCUAGUUCCAUGGUUUCUGCUAUAAAACACUCUGAUGAACUGCCUCCUAACAUGACAUAGGAUUAAAAAGGACAAUGCAUUGCUGAGGCCUGGAAUCUCCUCCCUGAUUCCUCCCUGCCACCCCAGUGCCCACAUUUCCUUCAAAGUUUAAGACCUGCUUCCUACGUGAAGCCUUCCCAGAUAAAUCCAGUCUCCUUCAUCUCCGAAUGCCUUUCGUGCGUAUUGGGUACUAUGCAUCAUAUGUUCGAGAAACUGUCUUGUAUCAAUUUCUAAAUGCCUUAUAACGCUAAUCCUUCUUGCUGAGCCAGCUGGUCACAGUCUCACAGAAAUAAUCCCAUCGGAGACUGCUUUUCUGUCUCUCACAGUAUCAGCACGUGAAGUACAGAGUACAUGCUCUAUAAAGAUUAAUUGACCUUCGAUUUGAAAUGGAUGAAAGGGAUGCCUACAAAGGGAUGGGCAAUUAACCUGAGCUCAUUCUCACAGCUAUUAAAUUUUUUAUUAUAGAAUAAGAAUCACGUUCACAAGAGAAUUGUCCAACCUUCACCCUCACAUUUUCUUGGUAAACAACCCUUCCCUUCGCCCAGCUGACCUUGCCUCCUUUAACUUGCCAAGUUAUUUUGAAUAAGGAGAAGGAUCCUGGUCUGUGUGUGUGGGUCUCAGGAUUAAUACUACAUUUGGCUCUAGUGGCUGAAGGGGCAGCCUCUUGGAUCCUCAGAGUUAUGCUUCGGUGGAGAACCCUUGCCACAGAGAGACCUGCGGGGAGCCUGGGCAUGGCCAAUGGAUAUUGACAGCUUCACUGACAUUUACACGAGCUGAUUAUUAGUUGAAGAACUUUGCGUAAACAGUUGCCAUUUCAAACCAAUUGAUUUCUGUGAACUUAUAGCACAGGUACUGCUUAUGAAUAUGAAUACUUUUCACUGGUGAUUUCUUUAUUUUGUGGGCCUGACCACUCCUCUGUCUCACUAUGAAGCCCAACCUCUUAUUUUCAGACAAAGGAAUAAAGGCUCAGAGAGGGGCCUGUGACCACA